CUAAAAACCUAGCCCAAUAAACAUGAAUUUUACCCAAUUAACUAAACCCCCUUGAUAAACCAUUUUAACAUUCUAGUAAAGGAGAUUGAAAAACUUAUUUGGAGCUAUAAAGAUAGUACCGCAAGGGAACGAUGAAAUAUUAUGAAAAACUUCAAGCAGCAAAAAGUAAAGAUUACCUCUUGUACCUUUCGCAUCAUGGUUUAACUAGUCUAACCAAGCAAAGCGUAUUUAAGUUUGACUUCCCGAAACUAAGUGAGCUACUUCAGGGCAGCUAGAAGAGCAAACCCGUCUCUGUGGCAAAAGAGUGGGAUGACCCUCAAGUAGUGGUGACAGACCUAACGAACCUAGUGAUAGCUGGUUACUCAAGAAACGGAUUUAAGUCCAACCUAAAAGUCACACUACUCAAGUUUAUCAAAACAAUCAUUUGACUUUUAGAGUAAUUCAAAUAAGGUACAGCCUAUUUGAAACAGGAUACAACCUAGCCUAAUGGAUAAGAUCAGCCUAGCAUACAAUCAAGUGGGCCUAAAAGCAGCCACCUUUAAUAUAGCGUCAAAGCUAAAUUGUAACCACGCCUAAUUACUUAACCCAUAUCUUAAUCCCCUGCUAAUACUGAGUAGUUCUAUAAUGCUAUAGAAAUUUUUAUGUUAAAACUAGUAACAAGAAGAAGACCCUUCUCUUAAAUGUACAUGUAAAUCAGAAAAGACAAGCUACUGAUACUUAACGCCCCUGAGCACGAAGUAGUAACUCACCAAGAAAACUCUACUUUUACUGGUGUUAACCUAACACAAGAACAUUCUAAGAAAGAU
rnacentral:rRNA from 1 species